rnacentral:tRNA from 1 species
GCGCGAGUGAUCUAAUGGCUAUGAUUGGGCCUUGCCAAGGCUCCCAUCCGGGUUCGAAUCCCGGCUCGCGCA